rnacentral:rRNA from 1 species
CAGUCGCCGCGGUAAUACAGAGGGUGCAAGCGUUAAUCGGAUUUACUGGGCGUAAAGCGUGCGUAGGCGGCUUUUUAAGUCGGAUGUGAAAUCCCUGAGCUUAACUUAGGAAUUGCAUUCGAUACUGGGAAGCUAGAGUAUGGGAGAGGAUGGUAGAAUUCCAGGUGUAGCGGUGAAAUGCGUAGAGAUCUGGAGGAAUACCGAUGGCGAAGGCAGCCAUCUGGCCUAAUACUGACGCUGAGGUACGAAAGCAUGGGGAGCAAACAGGAUUAGAUACCCCAGUAGUCCCUGUCUCUUAUAC